ACCGAUGUGCUUACAUGGG
rnacentral:siRNA from 1 species